AUUUAAGUAGUUUAAAUAAAAACGUUAGUUUGUGGUGCUAAAUAUGUAAAUUGGUUACCUUAAAUC
rnacentral:tRNA from 1 species